GGUUAGAAACAGUCAGAGGUUUAGAAACAGUCAGAGGUUUAGAAACAGUCAGAGGUUUAGAAACAGUCAGAGGUUUAGAAACAGUCAGAGGUUUAGAAACAGUC